rnacentral:snRNA from 1 species
AGCUUUGCGCAGUGGCAGUAUUGUAGCCAAUGAGGUUUAUCCGAAGCGUGAUUAUUGCUAAUUGAAAAAUCAAGGCCCAGGACCUCUGGGUGGCUCAGUCUGUUAAAAGCAUCUGACUCUUGAUCUCAG